rnacentral:rRNA from 1 species
AGGGGCAGGCCUUACACAUGCAGUCGAGCGGUAGCACAGGGGAGCUUGCUCCCCGGGUGACGAGCGGCGGACGGGUGAGUAAUGUCUGGGAAACUGCCUGAUGGAGGGGGAUAACUACUGGAAACGGUAGCUAAUACCGCAUAACGUCGCAAGACCAAAGAGGGGGACCUUCGGGCCUCUUGCCAUCAGAUGUGCCCAGAUGGGAUUAGCUAGUAGGUGGGGUAAUGGCUCACCUAGGCGACGAUCCCUAGCUGGUCUGAGAGGAUGACCAGCCUCACUGGAACUGAGACACGGUCCAGACUCCUACGGGAGGCAGCAC